rnacentral:rRNA from 1 species
AGAUUGAACGCUGGCGGCAGGCCUAACACAUGCAAGUCGAGCGGCAGCACGGGUACUUGUACCUGGUGGCGAGCGGCGGACGGGUGAGUAAUGCCUAGGAAUCUGCCUGAUAGUGGGGGAUAACGCUCGGAAACGGACGCUAAUACCGCAUACGUCCUACGGGAGAAAGCGAGGGGACCUUCGGGCCUUGCGCUAUCAGAUGAGCCGUAGGUCGGAUUAGCUUAGUUGGUG